GGAGAAAAGUUAAAGCGUAAAGCGGUGAAAGAUGGUCUCGCGUCCCAUUAGUUAGUUGGUGAGGUAACGGCUCACCAAGACUGCGAUGGGUAGCCGGCCUGAGAGGGUGAACGGCCACACUGGAACUGAGACACGGUCCAGACUCCUACGGGAGGCAGCAGUGGGGAAUAUUGCACAAUGGAGGAAACUCUGAUGCAGCGACGCCGCGUGAACGAUGAAGGCUUUCGGGUCGUAAAGUUCUGUCCUAGGGGACGAUAAUGACGGUACCCUAGGAGGAAGCCCCGGCUAACUACGUGCCAGCAGCCGCGGUAAUACGUAGGGGGCGAGCGUUGUCCGGAUUUAUUGGGCGUAAAGGGUUCGCAGGCGGUCUCUUAAGUUAGAUGUGAAAGAUCACGGCUCAACCGUGGUAAGCAUUUAAAACUGGGAGACUUGAGUUAAGGAGAGGAAAGUGGAAUUCCUAGUGUAGCGGUGAAAUGCGUAGAUAUUAGGAGGAAUACCAGUGGCGAAGGCGACUUUCUGGACUUAUACUGACGCUGAGGAACGAAAGCGUGGGGAGCAAACAGGAUUAGAUACCCUGGUAGUCCACGCCGUAAACGAUGAGUGCUAGGUGUCGGGGGUCAAACCUCGGUGCCGCAGCUAACGC
rnacentral:rRNA from 1 species